rnacentral:rRNA from 1 species
GGCGUUGACUCCAAUUGAACGCAGGCUUCACCCUUGUGGUGCUCCCCCGCCAAUUCCUUUAAGUUCAUACUUGCGUACGUACUUCCCAGGCGGCAGACUUAACGGCUUCCCUGCGGCACUGCAUUGGCCACAAGCCAAUGCAUCACCGAGUCUGCAUCGUUUACAGCUGGGACUACCCGGGUAUCUAAUCCGGUUUGCUCCCCCAGCUUUCAUCCCUCACCGUCGAACGUGUUCUGGUACACCGCCUUCGCCACAGGUGGUCUUCAAUAGAUCAAAGGAUUUUACCCCUUCCUAUCGAGUACCGUGUACCUCUCCCACUCCCUAGCUGCACAGUAUUUUCGGCGGCCUAUACGUUAAGCGCAUAGAUUUAACCGAAAACUUAUGCAACCGGCUACGGAUGCUUUAGGCCCAAUAAACCUCCUGACCACUCGAGGUGCUGGUUUUACCGCGGCGGCUGACACCAGAACUUGCCCACCCCUUAUUCACCAGUGAUUCUACAACUGACAAAAGACUCCUUUAGCAGGAGACACUCGGAUUAACCUUGUCGUGCUUUCGCACAUUGCAAAGGUUUCUCGCCUGCUGCGCCCCAUAGGGCCUGGGUCCGUGUCUCAGUACCCAUCUCCGGG